GCCGGGAUGGCGGAAUUGGCAGACGCGCACGGCUUAGGACCGUGUGCCGAAAGGCGUGCAGGUUCAAGUCCUGUUCCCGGCACCA
rnacentral:tRNA from 1 species